rnacentral:rRNA from 1 species
UACGGGGGGGGCAAGCGUUGUUCGGAAUUACUGGGCGUAAAGGGCUCGUAGGCGGCCAACUAAGUCGGACGUGAAAUCCCUCGGCUUAACCGGGGAACUGCGUCCGAUACUGGAUGGCUUGAGUUCGGGAGAGGGAUGCGGAAUUCCAGGUGUAGCGGUGAAAUGCGUAGAUAUCUGGAGAACACCGGUGGCGAAGGCGGCAUCCUGGACCGACACUGACGCUGAGGAGCGAAAGG